AGUUCAUUAGAGAGAACUCUCUUUUAGAUCUGUUGUUUCAGCUCACACACUAAAAUCUUUGGUUAUCAGCACAAUAGGACAGCAUUGCUACAAUGAACAAAAAUAUGUCCAGACUCCAAAGGAAUUGCCUUGUUACAGCCAAUGCUUGGUUAUUAACAGAUACCGGCUACACGAUUCAACAAAUAUUGACAAUUAUUCUUAUGUUUGGUAUCGUUACUAUCAAUUUGAUGUUUUUACUUGGGUUGUAUAAGGCAAAAAGAACAAAAGGGAAGCCUAAUAAACUCCUUAUUGCACUAACUCUUUCAGAUUUGAGUGUUGGGGGUAUUUCAGUAGGAGCUUAUCUUUCAUUCAAGUGGUUAACUGCAAACGAGUUUGCAUGUGUCAUGUUGGUAUGUCUGUGGAAAAUCCCUUUACUUAUUUCAAUAAGUGUGACCUUGGUUUUUGCUAUCGAUCGAUAUCUAACCAUAGUGCACAACAUUUCGCUUCGCGUGGUUUGGUUCAUUAUUCCAGCUUCUGUUGUAUUUAUCAUGUUUGCAGGUGUAGAAAUUUACAACAAUUAUCUUCAAGAUAUUCCUAGGAAAUAUUAUUAUAAAGGAAAUUCGUUUUACAUGAUCUUUGGACUUGGCUUGACAAUUAUAUCAACUGGUGUCAUUAUGCAAGUCCAUUUACUCUACCACGUAAAGAAAUUAACGAAAAAUAUUCGAAAAAGGCAGACAACCUCCAACCAAUCACAUUACAGCAAAUAUGCUAACCGGACAAUCACAUUGAUUUUAAUAUCUUAUUUUUCCUUUUCCUCAAUAUAUAUGAAUAUUCAUUUUUACAUUACCAUAAUGGCUGACGAUGACAUUAAUCCUAAAACAUUGACCAUAUUAUUGUUUACAUCUUAUUAUUCCCUUAGUUUGAACUCCUUCUUCAACACUUGUAUCCUGUUUUCAAGAUUAACAGAAGUGAGAAAGUGUUUUACGUCGAUUGUGCGAUCAGAAAACAACACCGGAGAAGAGCAAACAGCCUCUAGCUCAAGAGUCGCGUAAAUUUUUUGCAAGACUUUCAAAGAGAGCCGUUUAAUAUUCUACUUAAGAUAGCUUCUCAGAAAACUCAAGAAAAUUUCACACGUCCACACCACACGCGUCGAAAUGAUGGUUCGAUCUAACUCGUAAGUGCAAUGUGCAAAGAGUGGAAAAUUUAAUUUAAAUUUUGAAAGAAAAUCUUCUUCCAACCCUGUUCAGGUUUUAUCAGUAUUGCAUGUUAUUCGCAAAAGUCAUAAUGCUCGACAAAUUUUUAAUAGCAUUGAUUCGCGAAAAUUUAGUGCUAUUUCAUGCACGUAAGUUUCUGUCCUUGAAAGUUUUUAUACUUAAAGUAGCCCUAUUGCCACUCGCAGUGGUUUCAACGGAUGACUUCCAGAUAGCCAGUAUGUACAUACUCGGUUGAUUUCUUACUUAUUACGUAAGUUUGUUUCCAAAAUAAAAUUAGAGGAUUUCUUUGACAUGAUGAAUAUUUUAUUUAUGUAAAAAAGCCAUAAUGAUGAUAUGUGUAAUAAUAUACUUGUCUCGUGAUCGUGGUGAUUGAUAGUUAAUUGACCUUCUGCAAAGGCGAUAAAUCAACGUUACAAUAUACACUGGAGUCAUGUUGCAAGUACACUUUGUUUUUAUGACUAACGUGACAAUACACAGGUGAUGUUAACAUGACACAAAAAGGUGUCCUGCCUACGUAGGAACAAACAAAAAUAAUGUUUUACUUAAACAUGAAAAGAGUGACCGAUAUAAUUUGACGUUUGACAUUUUAUAAACAUCGGCAGUAAUACAUCUCAUGUGACCACAGAAAGUUAUAGCUAAGCAAGCUGAUCAAAUAAAAAUGAAAUACGGCUCUAAAUGUGUUGGUUUUACUUGGCUUUUAGAUUAUGAUCCAUUGAUGUGAAAUCACAUAUUCCCUUAUAUGGGUAAAAAUCAUUGACCUGUAAAAAAGAUUUCUAAGCAGCCAAGUACUGCGUGUAGCUUUUUGUUGAAACAUGAUACAGAGAACAAACAAUUUAUACUGUUUGUGUUUCCAUAUUUCUCUUCAUUACGUUGCUAAACGAACGGAACGGAAAUAACACUUUUUAUUACUUUCUCUAUUGCAAAGCAACAAAAAGAAAAUGCUUAAUUUGAGACAUCUUUGGAUCUUCGUUUUUUUCAUCAGUAGUGGAAUGCACUACGCCGAAAAUGCUGAGUUUAAAAAUUGCGAUAACAAUGUACCAGUUUUGAUGUACUUCACCUUUCCUGAUCCAUUGGUUGUCAUUCUUGGGAAGCCAAUAAAUAUAAUAGGUGGAGCAUUAGUUAAUGAAACAUUUC